CACACCGCUCGUCACACCAUGGGAGUGGGUUGCUCCAGAAGUAGCUAGUCUAACCUUCGGGAGGACGGUUACCACGGAGUGAUUCAUGACUGGGGUG
rnacentral:rRNA from 1 species